rnacentral:rRNA from 1 species
UACGGAGGGGGCUAGCGUUGUUCGGAAUCACUGGGCGUAAAGCGCACGUAGGCGGAUUUGUAAGUCAGGGGUGAAAUCCCGGGGCUCAACCUCGGAACUGCCUUUGAUACUGCGAGUCUUGAGUCCGAUAGAGGUGGGUGGAAUUCCUAGUGUAGAGGUGAAAUUCGUAGAUAUUAGGAAGAACACCAGUGGCGAAGGCGGCCCACUGGAUCGGUACUGACGCUGAGGUGCGAAAGCGUGGGGAGCAAACAGG